CCCCCCUGUCUUCCAGGUCUUCAUUCUGCUGCCGACGGAGGCUGGCUAGCAUCUGCAGCUCACAUUCGCUCAUCUGGCUGGGCUGGUAGUUCCUCCAGUAGUAUUCCUGACCAAGAUACAGAGAUAUAUGGAAGAUAAUUAAUGCAAGGUGGGAAAAAAUGUAAGGUCUGCAAUCCAGAAAGGCCUCACAUCUAUCUUCUUGAUGCAGAACAGAGAGUAGAUGGAAUCAAGAUUAUUACUGGGAAGACUAUGCAGCCAUGAAAUGAUUGUUCUAUGGACUCUCACCAACAAAAUA